GGCAUUUAGGUCAUUUUAUAUGACCUCUAUACGUGCCCUUUUUGAGUGCGUGUAGCUUUUAAGUUACUCCCACAUAUAUGCAUCCCUUUUUCUUCUCUUCUAAUAUAUCGUAUACAAUAGAGUUACAGAGCUUACUCACAGCUUACUCAAAUUUUUUACUGGCUUCUCAAAUCUCUCCAACUUGCAGGUAAAUUUCUUACUCUUCAAAAUGAAUUUUGUUGCUAUCUAUGUGUUGUUUCUCCUUUUUUUGUUCCAAUUUGUUUCAAACCACAUACAAUUCUUUUUAUAUCAAUGGUAAGAUCACUAAGCAAUGGAGGUUUACCUCAAAUUCAUGAAAAUAAACUAAAUUAAAGACAGAUUUUGUCUAUAUUCAAGAAGAUCCGGAAAUUUUCGAGUUAGGAUUUUGAUGAAUGAAAUUGGGGGAAUUUUUUUUUUUUUUGUGGAGAUGAAUUAAAAUCAAGAGUUCGGCUUUGAAUAUUCAAUUUCUUUCAAAACUUGUAUUGCAAAUGUUUGUCUUCUCGCUCUAAAGUGUAGCUACAACUACUUUUUUUUCCUCCUUUUUUCUUGGUUCUUCCUUCUGUUUGGGUCAUUAUUGUUAGUUUUGAAAUUUAAUGGUUCCUGAUAUCUUCUCCUCUCAUUUUUUCAUCUUUUUUUUCCCUUUGUAUUCUUCGGCUAAUUUUGAAGUUUAGUGAUUAAAAUUUUCCUUUUCGCUUGUCGGGUUAUGUCGUGUCCAGAUUGGAGAAAUUUAAGUUCGACAUUAAAGUCACCAGAUAAUUUUUCUUCAUUUUAUAUUUUUGGGUGGUAGAAUUGUGAUAGAUAUAAAUCGACUAUUUGUGCCUCUUUUGGUGAUGGGCAUGAGCCAAACAAAUAUGAAUGAUUUAGAAAGAGUACAAAUCUUAGUGUGCGAUUUUUGUUUGACAUCACCAUUUGAUUUUCAUAUAAAGGUAAAUUUAGGGAAAAUAAAAGCUGCAACGUUGUAUCGACAAGUCGUUAAAAUUGGUGAUAAGACUUUUAUAGUCAUGUGUAAUAGAAUUAGCGUUUGAAUUCGGAUGAUUUUUAAAUAUUCAUGUAUUCAGCUUGAUUCUAUUUUUUAUCGUUUGGACUAUCGUUGCCUUGAUAUUCUUAUCCAUUCAGUAAAAGCAAAUCACAAUUUAUCCUUUGAUCAAGCUUUUCAAUUCAGUAAUAUAUGCUAGAUCUUUUUGUGUCAUAUGUUUUACUGCAGAAUAUUAGAAAAUGGAAGUGUUAUGAUAAGUAAACCGACAACCCUUUAUAGUUCGAAUACGAUAGUCGUGAUUGAUAAAGGCUGCUUGUACAUGUUCUGAAUAAUGAACUAUUUGCUACAUAUUUCCGUUGAAGGAGUUCUAGUGUAUAUUCUGCAUAUGAAAUUGCACAAUUGUAUCAUUAUAUUUCUUGCUCAAGUGCACUGAAACAGUUGAAAUUCAUUUUGAAUCAAGAAACGAUAAGUGUCCCUGGAAAAGACAGGGUAAGAGUAAUAUCCACAGUUGGUACUUAUGAAGGCAAGUAAGUCAAGGUAAAUAAAUUCAAUGUAGAAUUUAGAAGGUAAACCUAUUUGGCUCCGCUUUGUCACAAGCACGUUGAGGGUCAGAAGUUCAGGGAAAUUUUUCUCUUGUAUUUUUCCUUUUUUCUGGAUUGUGUAGUAUUUAUAAGAAUAGAGACACAAUCGAAGUCUAAAAAUAGUAGUAAUAGUGAUAGCAGGUUUUGAGUCUAUGACCAAAGUAGGAACCGAAGGAAUCAAGAAUCAAAUGGAGGACAUUCAGGAGAUAAGGGAUGGGAGAGGAAGAUGACAAAUGAAGAGAGAAUGUUGUGUAUGUGGGUCCUGAAUUCAGAUCCCUUCUUCGGUACAUUUUUAUUAUCUAUUUGGCAGCAUCUUUUAUUUUUACUUUAUCUUUUUUGGUUUUGUCUUCCUUAUUUACUUUUAUUGUACUCUUUGGAAUUAGCUUAAACUUGUUAAUACUAAACCAAUGUUAUUUCUUGUGAUCAUAUCUUCAGCGCGUGAGUGCUCAUUCAAAGUAAGUUUUUGAACAUUCUAUGUGAUUUUCAAUUGGUUCGAAUGUUGGAUUGUGGUUUUCAAUUAAUUACCUUUUAAUUACUCAAUUACUAGCUCUUCUAAGAAAUUUUGUGAUCCAAGAACUAAGGUUCGUCAAGUUAUGUGAAAUUAAUUAUUAUAUAGUUGAUAAGCUUAAUUGCUUCUGGUGGGUCAAACAGCCAGCAUUUCUUACAACAAAUCAUGGUGGAAAUAUAAUGGGCAAUGUCGCAUUGUAAAUGUCAAACUGCUUACGGUUAGCAUGUAUGCCUAAUCAUUUGUAAGCUGCAGAAAAGAAUGCCAUGUUCUACAUAGCUCUUGCACUUCAUAUCAUUCGAGAAAGAAAAACUUGAUUGUUUUGGUAUUCAUUCUUCAUUCAGUGCAUGUUCGGAUAUAAAGAGUAAACAAUCUCUACUUUUAAUGUACCAUUAUCUGCUUACCUGAAAGCUCUACAUUGUACUUCUCCUUUGUUUUUUCUUGGAGCACCUAAUUGAGAGUACCAAAUCCGACAACUCAGAUAUGUACAUGCCAGUGAAUAGAAGUGAGAAAACUCCAUUUAAUUUAUGCAGAGAUGAUAUGUUUACUACGUUACUUCAGUUUGAUUCCUUGCACAAGCUUAAUGGUUAUGGGAAAAUUAACAUGCUUGCUUGAUUAGCUUCUGAUUGUUACAUGAAUAUCAUUUAUAUUAGGGGCUAAAUUCUAUUUCUAUCAUAUUUCUAACUUUUGCUAAUUUACUACUUUGAAAGGGAUGACUAAAGAGGAUCCGCUGAAACCUUGUGAAACUUGUGAUUGAAGACUAACCUUAUGCAAAUGACCUACUCAUAUAUUCUAAUCAUGUUGGUUGUUGAAUUGAUUAUGCUUUGAGCUCCCUCUAAAUUACUUUCUUGAAUUUACAUAUAAAGUUUAAACGAAAAAUCUAGCUGAUUGCAAGAUAAAGAUAGCUUUAAAUCCACUAAUUUAUUGUUGCUUACCUCAUCAUCAAUUAUUUAGAAUAGUGUCCUAUUGGUGUAACUUCUAUUGUUGGAGGUAUUCUACAUAUGAUGUACUUUAUGAUGCCAUUAUUAAGAAUAACAUUUAAUCUAAAUUUUAUAUUACCAAUAUGAUCGUGAAAUAGAGAUAAAUGGUAACCUCUAUAAUGUGAAGUAUGAUGAAGGAAGGUCUAUUGAAUUUUUCACUAUUGUCGAUGCCAGAUAAAUAUUAAAUGGAGAUUUGGACGGUUAUGGCUCUUGUUUGCCAUAUAAUUUUAGGCGUUCAAUAUCUUGGCUCUAGCUUCUUUCAUCCAUGUUUCCUUUUCUGUUAACCUGAGUUUUACCUGAGCAUUUUUCUAUUAUUACUUAUUUUGCAAUAGCCUCAAGCAUUUGAAUUGGCACAUUUACUGGUUUCUCCUCCGCAUGUUCUUUCCCUCUCUGUUUUUCUGUUCUUUUUUUAUAUUUAUUUGAGGUCUUCUGAGUUAGAUUCCAUUACUGAAUCUCUGUUUGUUUGAUGAUUGAGCUACUAAGAGUAGUUCUGUUCCAGUUCCAUAUUGGCACUGAUGUGCUAGCAGACACCAUUUUUGCUUUAUUUUAACUUUCUUAUUUGUAUAUUUCCUAUGCGCUAAUUUCAUUCGAGAAAGAAAGAUUUGAUCGUGUCGGUAUUCAUUCUCCAUUGCGUGCAGGUUGGACAUAUAAAGAGCAACGAAUCUCCACAUUGAUGUGCCAUCAUCUGUUUAUCUAAAAGCACUACGUUGUACUUCUUCUCUUUUUUUUUUUGAAGCACCUAAUUGAGAAUACUAAAACUGACAUCUCAGAAGAUAGGUACAUUCCAAGGAAUGUAAGUGAGAAGGUUAUCAAAAAGGAAUGCGAGUGAGAAAACAUCAUUUAAUUUCUCUGAAGAUGAUGUUCAACUGAGAAGGUUAUCAAAAAGGAAUGCGAGUGAGAAAACAUCAUUUAAUUUCUCUGAAGAUGAUGUUCACCACAUUACUCAAUUUGAUUCCUUGCACAAACUUAACGUGACGUUAAAAUCAACAUGCUUCUUGCUUAGCAUCUGAUUAUCACAGAGAUAUCACUUAUGUUUGGGGCUGAAUUCUCUUUCUAGAAUAUCUCUUACUUUUAGUGAUUGGUGACUGUGCUAACUUCUUUUUGCUUAAUCUUUCUCCCUUCUCCGGGUAAUGGACUUAACUUGAUUGAUAAAGUUGCUCAUUGUUCUUAUUGUUUGCCCUUUUUAUUAGUUUAUACUUCUGUAGGAGACCUCUUGAUUACUUAACAUCCUUAGGGAAUCAUAGAUUUACUAAAGUUGUAAACAUUCUUCAAUCUGCCCAACCAGUUCAAGGUUGUUAAGAUUCUUAAAAUGAAACAACAAUAAUUGAAAUAGUAUUAAGACACAACUGAAUUAUUCUAUUUGUCUGGUUUUAUAAUAUUGUUGAGUUCUUGAUGCUUAUAUGUCUGCAUUAGACUAAUUUGUUUCAUUUGUGUCGCAGUUACUUAUAUAUACUCUUGAUUUGUGAUACAGGAAUUGCUGCCUAGGAAGAUUACUUUGUGGAAGUUAAAGGAUAUAAAUUGCUUAAUAUAGGUGAAAAGUAUAGCUUGAGUCAAAGUCGGGGAUGCGGAUUAUUUGUAUUCUCUCUAAAGAAAUACUUCAAGCUAGAGGUGUAUUCACUUAGAGCUAAUUCGAUACUUGUAUCUUUCAGUGUUUAUUGAUUGGUUUGAAGAUGUAGUUCCUCCUGAAAUAUUGUGCCUGAGCAAAUGUGUGGCAAAUGUCAUUUUGCAUGGCUAUCCUCGGGGUGCAAUUUGAAGAAGGAAGCAACUAUCAUUGUGCUUGUGAAAUACCGAUAAACUUAUUUCACUUAUGUAUUUGUGAAAUCAUAGCUAUUGUAUUAGGUAUUUAUUGUUAUAUAUGUUGUCUAUCGCCAUUUGGCAGUUGUUUACGUGCAUAUAUUUUUGUUAUCUGCCAUUCUUAUCAAAACAAAAUUAAUAAAAUAUAAUAUUUUCAACUUUUAUAAUAUU
rnacentral:lncRNA from 1 species